UAAAAUUUCAUUUUAUCUUUCAUAGAAGCUAAACAGUCGAUACAGAUUUUAAAAAAAGAGAGUGAUUCAGUCACUACCGUCUGGUUGAUUUGAUGUUGUUGUCAGCGAUGUCUUCCUCUUUUGUUGUCCAUAUAUUUGUUAUUGUUAAUGUUGGUUUAGUUGUUGAUUUUGUUGUCAUUUUCACAUCUUCACCUAAAGAAAUACAAUAACAACAUUAAAGACACCAACAGUAAGAAAAGACUUGAAAGUAAGUGAACAACAACAGAGAGGAAACAGUGGUGAGAUGUUUAACAGUCUAACAAGUCUCAUUUUUGAUGAUGUCUCAUGUCUGAGGAUAUGUUCUCUUUAUCUUCAUUCAGACACUCAACUGUGAGUCUACAGUGUUCAUAUGUCAACACAGAGCUGUUCAAGAUGCUUUAUCAUUGUUCUCAUGUACAUACACUGGUGAAGAUGGAGAUAUUGUGUAACGACCAACAUCCUGAUCUGUGACCUUCUUUAUAACCAGAGAACAGUCUGCAGAAAGACUCAGUCUGUCUGAUUUAGGUUUGGCUUCUUUUUUCUGCCCAAAGUCAAAUAGUUCUACUGAGCUGUUUGAGUUACUGAAGAUCCAGGUAGUACUGAUACAGUUAUGCUGACCUUGUAUCACAUUUUUACAAGGCAGAGUAACAUCAUGUCCACGUCCAGCUGUGACAGUUUGAACAGUUUGAUGUUGCUCAGUUGUUCCUGUUGAGAAAAAGAGAGAGAGAAAUGUGAAACAUCAAAUAUGUUAUGAAUAUGAGUGUUAUGUUUAUAAUGUGAAGUUUAUUUUAAAUACAACACAAGUUUAUGUUUCAACUUUAGUUUCCAAGAGUCAGCUCAAGUCAAAAAGUUAAUCAUGACUGUCUCAGUUAAAGGAAGAAUAAAGAAGUAACACUUGUGAUAAUAAUGCAGUUUAUUAAUUGAAUGUGUUUCUAUGUACACUUACCUUUAAACUGAAGCAUCAGUAUCAGUAAUGAAGACAUUUGAAUCCAUGUGAAUGCAGCCAUCGUGCUUCUCUGUCUCUCUCAGUCUCUGUUCUUGCUCUCACGUUCACAAAUGAGACAGUCUCAGAGAUGAACACAGCAUCAACUUCCUGCUCACUUCCUCAUAGUGACAUCACUCCUUUUCUCUGCUCUUCCUGAAUUAAUUCAGUUCAUUCAGCUUUUAGGCAUCUGUAUCUGCCCCUCUGUCUUAAUGUGGAUAUAAAAUUUGCUAAAUCCUUUUUCACAUUUAAUAACUUUUAUAUUUAAUCUAUUUUGCAAACUCCCCUGUUUCCCUUUAAAGGAUUGUUUAACA
rnacentral:lncRNA from 1 species